rnacentral:rRNA from 1 species
GAUGAACGCUGGCGGCGUGCCUAAUACAUGCAAGUCGAACGCUGGAGAUCUAGCUUGCUAGAUCGAAGGAGUGGCGAACGGGUGAGUAAUACAUAAGCAACCUACCCACGAAGACUGGGAUAAUCUCUGGAAACGGGGACUAAUACCGGAUAGGUAAUCGGAAGGCAUCUUUUGGUUAUUAAAGGUUAAAAACACUGGUGGAUGGGCUUAUGGCGCAUUAGUUGGUUGGUGAGGUAACGGCCCACCAAGACGAUGAUGCGUAGCCGGCCUGAGAGGGUGAACGGCCACAUUGGGACUGAGACACGGCCCAGACUCCUACGGGAGGCAGCAGUAGGGAAUUUUCGGCGAUGGGGGCAACCCUGACCGAGCAACGCCGCGUGAGAGAAGACUGCCUUCGGGUUGUAAAGCUCUGUUGUAAGGGAAGAACGGUAGAUAGAGAAUAUCUAAGUGACGGUACCUUACCAGAAAGCCACGGCUAACUACGUG